rfam:Candidatus Sungbacteria bacterium RIFCSPLOWO2_02_FTLL_48_13b rifcsplowo2_02_scaffold_39463, whole genome shotgun sequence.
UUUGGUGGCUUUCAGAUACGUUGUACCACCCCUUCCCAUUCCGAACAGGGCCGUUAAAGACGUAUUCAGCGAUGAUACUUGGGGGUUUAGCCUCUCGGGAAAGUAGCUGCCGCCAAAA